GCGGCGUGCUUAACACAUGCAAGUCACGGGGGCCCAAGGCGCAAGCCGUGGGUAACCGGCGAACGGGUGCGUAACACGUGAGUGACCUGCCGAUUUGUGGGGGAUAGCCGGGCCAACGCCCGGGUAAUACCGCAUACGCUCUUCUUGGGGCAUCUCUAGAAGAGGAAACCUCCGGGGCAAAUCGAGGGACUCGCGGCCUAUCAGCUAGUUGGCGAGGUAACGGCUCACCAAGGCUACGACGGGUAGCUGGUCUGAGAGGAUGGCCAGCCACAUUGGGACUGAGAUACGGCCCAGACUCCUACGGGAGGCAGCAGUGGGGAAUAUUGCGCAAUGGCCUAACGGCUGACGCAGCGACGCCGCGUGUGGGAUGACGCCCUUCGGGGUGUAAACCACUGUUGCUCGAGACGAAUAGCGAGCUUUAGCUCGCCUGACGGUAUCGAGUGAGGAAGCACCGGCUAACCUCCGUGCCAGC
rnacentral:rRNA from 1 species